GAGUUUGAUCCUGGCUCAGGAUGAACGCUGGCGGCGUGCUUAACACAUGCAAGUCGAGCGAUGAAGUUUCCUUCGGGAAACGGAUUAGCGGCGGACGGGUGAGUAACACGUGGGUAACCUGCCUCAUAGAGUGGAAUAGCCUUCCGAAAGGAAGAUUAAUACCGCAUAACGUUGAAAGAUGGCAUCAUCAUUCAACCAAAGGAGCAAUCCGCUAUGAGAUGGACCCGCGGCGCAUUAGCUAGUUGGUGGGGUAACGGCCUACCAAGGCGACGAUGCGUAGCCGACCUGAGAGGGUGAUCGGCCACAUUGGGACUGAGACACGGCCCAGACUCCUACGGGAGGCAGCAGUGGGGAAUAUUGCACAAUGGGGGAAACCCUGAUGCAGCAACGCCGCGUGAGUGAUGAAGGUUUUCGGAUCGUAAAGCUCUGUCUUUGGGGAAGAUAAUGACGGUACCCAAGGAGGAAGCCACGGCUAACUACGUGCCAGCAGCCGCGGUAAUACGUAGGUGGCGAGCGUUAUCCGGAUUUACUGGGCGUAAAGGGAGCGUAGGCGGAUGAUUAAGUGGGAUGUGAAAUACCCGGGCUCAACUUGGGUGCUGCAUUCCAAACUGGUUAUCUAGAGUGCAGGAGAGGAGAGUGGAAUUCCUAGUGUAGCGGUGAAAUGCGUAGA
rnacentral:rRNA from 1 species